rnacentral:siRNA from 1 species
UAUGGCAUCACUUUUAUACUAUA